rnacentral:rRNA from 1 species
GACGAACGCUGGCGGCGUGCUUAACACAUGCAAGUCGAACGGAAAGGCCCUGCUUUUGUGGGGUGCUCGAGUGGCGAACGGGUGAGUAACACGUGAGUAACCUGCCCUUGACUUUGGGAUAACUUCAGGAAACUGGGGCUAAUACCGGAUAGGAGCUCCUGCUGCAUGGUGGGGGUUGGAAAGUUUCGGCGGUUGGGGAUGGACUCGCGGCUUAUCAGCUUGUUGGUGGGGUAGUGGCUUACCAAGGCUUUGACGGGUAGCCGGCCUGAGAGGGUGACCGGCCACAUUGGGACUGAGAUACGGCCCAGACUCCUACGGGAGGCAGCAGUGGGGAAUAGUGCACAAUGGGCGGAAGCCUGAUGUAGCAACGCCGCGUGCGGAAUGACGGCCUUCGGGUUGUAAACCGCUUUCGCCUGUGACGAAGCGUGAGUGACGGUAAUGGGUAAAGAAGCACCGGCUAACUACGUG